GAUGAACGCUGGCGGCGUGCCUAAUACAUGCAAGUCGAGCGAAUGGAUUAAGAGCUUGCUCUUAUGAAGUUAGCGGCGGACGGGUGAGUAACACGUGGGUAACCUGCCCAUAAGACUGGGAUAACUCCGGGAAACCGGGUCUAAUACCGGAUAACAUUUUGAACCGCAUGGUUCGAAAUUGAAAGGCGGCUUCGGCUGUCACUUAUGGAUGGACCCGCGCCACAUUAGCUAGUUGGUGAGGUAACGGCUCACCAAGGCAACGAUGCGUAGCCGACCUGAGAGGGUGAUCGGCCACACUGGGACUGAGACACGGCCCAGACUCCUACGGGAGGCAGCAGUAGGGAAUCUUCCGCAAUGGACGAAAGUCUGGCGGAGCAACGCCGCGUGAGUGAUGAAGGCUUUCGGGUCGUAAAACUCUGUUGUUAGGGAAGAACAAGUGCUAGUUGAAUAAGCUGGCACCUUGACGGUACCUAACCAGAAAGCCACGGCUAACUACGUGCCAGCCGCCGCUGUAA
rnacentral:rRNA from 1 species